rnacentral:rRNA from 1 species
GCGGGCCCCGGGGUCACUCCCGGCGCUGGUCCCACUAACGGGGCCUCGCGAGUGCCCGUCGAAGGCCCUUCAAAACACCUUUUUAUCAGUGAAGUCCGAGUCCAAAACAAAUCAAUCAAAACUUUCAACAACGGAUCUCUUGGUUCUGGCAUCGAUGAAGAACGCAGCGAAAUGCGAUAAAGUAAUGUGAAUUGCAGAAUUCAGUGAAUCAUCGAAUCUUUGAACGCACAUUGCGCCCUUGGGACAUUCCUAGGGGCAUGCCUGUUCGAGCGUCAUUAAACCCCUCAAGCAUUGCUUGGUAUUGGGUGCUCGCCUCCCUCGGGGCGCACCCCAAAUCCAGUGGCGGUCCAGGGAGACUUCAAGCGCAGUAAAUUACCAUUCGCUUUGGAAGCUUCUACCUGUGGUCCCGCCAGCAACCCCAUCUUUUUACCAAA